rnacentral:lncRNA from 10 species
UGCACUUCCUGCGAGGCCCCUGCAGCAGCAGCGGCGUGGUCAGAGCGAGCUUCGGAGAAGCAGUGGUGGGUUCCAUGUGAUGGUGGAGUAGGAGGCAGGUCUCCGCGGUUCAUCUGUGUUGCUCUAAAUGACACUGUUUCAUUAUUUUGAUGGCUGGAGAAUAUUUCCUAGUGUAUGUAUAUGAGAGUUUCUUGAUCUCUUUAUCUGUGGAUGAACAGCUACUUUGAAACAUAUGGUACAUUUGUGUUAAGGCUAGUCACCCUGCUGUGGAAUAGAAGGCCAGAAUUGAUCAGUCUCAUCUGAGAGUAACUUUGUACCCAUCACUGAUUCCUUCUGAGACUGCCUCCACUUCCCCAGCAGCCUCUGGUUUCUUCAUGUGGCUGCAGAUGGCAGGAUUUCCCAAAGGUUUCUGGCUGAAACAUAUUCCGUGGUGUAUCUGUACAGCAGUUUCCUCAUCCCUGCAGCUGUGUUUGAACAGGUCAUUUACCAUGCUGUCCUCCAGGUUCAACAGUAUGGCUCCAAAGGAUGAAAUUUCAUUCUGAUUUUCUGGCUGAAGACUAUUCUCUUUGUGUAUGUCCACCACAGUUACUUUAUCCCUUCAUCUGUGGAUGGGCAGGCUAAACAAUAUUCACAGCAUUUUCACCAGGAGUAAAUUUCAUCUCACAAAACCACUUUCCAGGCUCUUUCUGGACUGUAGAGUUCUUUCCAGGCUACGUUGUGGCAGUUUAAGAGUCUGGCAUCAUUUUCCGCUGGGACCUAAGGAUCGAGGAGGUGCUUGUGACUAGACUGCCAAUGGACCCAUCACAAAGUUUAACCCAACCUUGAUCCCCGAGUCUUCACAAAUGCUCACUGAAGAAAAUUCCUAGAACAAUUCAGGGUCCUUUCAUAACCUCUACUCUGAGG